rnacentral:rRNA from 1 species
GCUUUGUGUGAGAAGAAGUCCGCUCGGCGGGAAUUGACGGUAUCGCACGAAUAAGGACCGGCUAACUCCGUGCCAGCAGCCGCGGUAAUACGGAGGGUCCAAGCGUUGUCCGGAAUCACUGGGUGUAAAGGGUGCGUAGGCGGACUCGUAAGUCAGGGGUGAAAGCCCGCGGCUCAACCGCGGAACUGCCUCUGAUACUGCGAGCCUUGAGUCCUGGAGGGGCUGGCGGAAUUCGUGGUGUAGCGGUGAAAUGCGUAGAUAUCACGAGGAACACCGGAGGUGUAGACGGCCAGCUGGACAGGUACUGACGCUGAGGCACGAAAGCGUGGGGAGCGAACAGGAUUAGAUACCCUGGUAGUCCACGCUGUAAACGAUGAGUGCUCGAUGCUGCAUCGAUUGGGGUGCAGUGUCUAAGCUAACGCGUUAAGCACUCCACCUGGGGAGUACGCUCGCAAGGGUG